AAUUGUAGUUGUAGUACUAGAUGCUUGAAUCUGUACCGGAUUGCGAUUCUGAACAACUGCCUCACAAUGCCUGCGAUACCAAUUUUUAUGUAGACGGUAAGCGCAUAGAGAAUUUGGCAACUGCCUUCGACUUAACGAUUUCGUCCUCUCUGGCCCCCUUACUGAAUACAGAGCUCAUGGAAAAACUGUUUAAGAAAAUCAUUGUUGACGACGAAGAAAGAAAAAAAAUUAUGGUGGAGUUUUACAACAAAUGCAAAGCUCGCCUCGAGGCUGAGCUAGAAAAUGCGUUAGAAGAGGAAGAUUUGGUUCAACAACUCAACCGCUUAGAUUACAUAUUGCGUAGUUGGGAAGGCAAGUCUGAACUUUUGGGAAUAGAAGAAGGUGUUUCCUUUUCCGAUUUUCAUGCAGAAGAAAAGCUAGAGAGAGAGAGAAUAAUUUUGCUGCUAAAAAAGCACAAGAAAGAAGAGCUUGAAUUAAGAGAACAAUUGAAAAAGCAGCAAUCGAGAAUUAGUUUUUUGAACAAAGGUAUAAAUGAAAAGAAAGACAUGAUAGAGCAAAAGAUGGACAAAAUAGUGAAAGAGAUAGAGUUUUUUAAUAAUUCUGAGAUAAAAAGAACGUGGCAAAAUAAUUGAAUGAAAAACGGAUAGUAAUAAUGCCAUUGUAGUAAUAAGCUGAUGCUUUUACAGCUUUCUGUAGCUUUUUUCUAUGGCGUUCUGAUUAAUUGUCCUUCGGCAUUCUUUAUUUUGUUUUUGGAAUUAUAGAUUAACGCGUUCAAUACAUGUCCUGCACUUAAGCAGUUUCUACUUUUUGUGUUCUAGUUGUUAUUUGAGUCUGCUUGAGGUACUUGUGAGAAAGCCUGUCUUGAAAUUACAUCAGAUUCAAAAAACGAGCGGUGAAUUCAUUCUGGAGUGUUUUAAAAGACGGGGCUAGAAUGCUAUUUAGCGAGGAUUCUGAAAGGAACGGUAAGAUCUUGCCUUGAAACAACGAGCAGAGAUUGUCUAUCAGAACUAUAAGAGUAGCACCUAGAGUGAUUAUGGAUGCAUUGUAGAAAACUUUUUGGCAUCAACAAAAGGGACUGGAUGCGUUAGGUGACGUUGCGACGAUUUUUGCCAACAUAAGGUUGAGAUGCACUUUUUAUUUCUAAGAGUCUCGUCUCUAUUUGUCAGUUCUUGCAUUCAAGAUACUACUUCUUGUUAUCCAGUUGAUCAGAACCAUUGAUUUUAGGUUAUUGCGAAUUGAAUUGUGCGAAAUCGUAGCAAAAUGCUCUAUCUGUAGAUAUUGACUUUGUAGGUUGGUUAUGUAAUUGCGUUUUUAACUGAAGACUGUAUGUGAGAUUUUUUGGAGACAGACGGAUUCAGACGAUGGGACGUUUAGUUUGUGGGAACUGAAAGUGGUGGGUGGAAGCGAGGCAGGUUCAAAAAAUUACUAAAUAAAUAGAAAUGCAUUUAUGAAA